rnacentral:lncRNA from 1 species
CUCUGUUUUGGUACCAUUAUUGUUCUCACUCUAUAUGUUAUCAUUGGGUGACAUUAUUCGCAAACACAAUGUGAAUUUCCAUUCGUAUGCCGAUGACACACAACUUUAUGUAUCGUUUAAGCCUGAUGAUCCAUCACAUGUGGUGUCGUUAGCUAAUUGUUUUACCAGUAGAAAAUUAUGGAUAAGUAAAAAUUUUUCAUCUCUAAAUGCCAGUAAAACAGAGGUACUUGUGGUUGGUGGUGAUGCCAAAACUCUCUACAUAAUCACGCCAAUCUUUAUAACAAAUGGUAUUACCUUCAAGCGUACGGAUUGUGUCAAGGAUUUGGGUGUCCUGCUGGAUAGAAAGCUGUCAUUUGUAUCGCAUGUAAAUGCUUUGACUAAGUUGUGCUUCCUUCAGUUAAGAAACAUAGCUAAAUUUCGGCAAUUCCUAUGUAGACGGGAUUCUGAGAAACUGGUUCAUGCUUUUGUUUCCAGCAGGCUGGAUUACUAUAAUGCUUUAUUUUCGGGUUGUCCAUACCAGACUGUAUCCAGGCUACAAUUGGUACAAAAUGCUGCUGCGAGAAUUGUCACUAGAACUAGGAAGUUUGACUAUAUAUCACCUGUAUUUAAAUCGUUGCAUUGGCUCCCAGUCGCUUUUAGAGUUGAUUAUAAAAUCCUGCUUUUGACAUAUAAGGCAGUACAUGGCAUUGCUCCGGCUUACCUUUGUGAGAUCAUUAAUUCUUAUAUCCUAGGAUGAUAUCUCUGUUCAUUAGAUGCAGGUUACCUUAAAGUACCUGUGAUCAAUAAGACUUCAGUAGGAGGUCAUGCCUUUAGUUAUAGAACACCUAAACUGUGGAAUAGUCUACCAGUUACUGUUAGAAAUGUCCCUUCUGUUUCUGUUUUCAAAUCCCAACUAAAGACUUACAUGUUCACUCAGGCAUUCCACCUCGAAAUGUAAUUCAACCUGCCUUGGUUGUUUUUUAUCACCUUUAUAAAAAUGCAUAUUACAUUAACUUAAGUAACAAAUUACUAACUCUCCUCUUUCUUCUUGUUGAGC